rnacentral:rRNA from 1 species
GUGUUGUGAAAUGUUGGGUUAAGUCCCGCAUACGAGCGCAACCCUUAUCCUUGUUUGCCAGCGAGUAAUGUCGGGAACUCCAGGGAGACUGCCGGUGAUAAACCGGAGGCAAGGUGGGGACGACGUCAAGUCAUCAUGGCCCUUACGAGUAGGGCUACACACGUGCUACAAUGGCGCAUACAGAGGGCAGCCAACUUGCGACGAGUGAGCGAAUCCCAAAAAGUGCGUCGUAGUCCGGAUCGGAGUCUGCAACUCGACUCCGUGAUAGUCGGAAUCGCUAGUAAUCGUGGAUCAGAAUGCCACGGUGAAUACGUUCCCGGGCCUUGUACACACCGCCCGUCAGCACCAUGGGAGUGGGCUGCAAAAGAAGUAGGUAGUUUAAC